GCUAACGUUAUGGGCCGUUAGUGGUGGUUCAUUGCCUAUAGUGUUGUAAUCCGGAAUCCAAGUUUUGUGAUAACCGUGUUGUUUACUUUCAGUGUUGUUUAUUGUUCACAGCUGGAUUGAGCUCAGUUGAGAGUGUCAUGCUCUGUCAAUAUCUGUUGCAGGAGUUGUCAUUCUCUGUUACUAGAGUUGUCAAUCUCAGAUGCAGGAGUUGUCAGUUGCAGCCAUUCUUGCUGUGUCAAGCUUGUGACUUGCGUUGUAUCAGGUUGGUAACAGCUUGUAUCUCGAUAGGACUGAAUGUAGCCAGGAGUUGUCUUAGGUUAGUCUAAUGUGCCAAAACGUUAGUCAAACCACCUAGGUUGUGUUUGUUCUGGAGAGUUCAGCUAGUCUGAGUGAUCUGGGUUAUCCUAAGUUUUAUCCAUGUUUCGAUCUUUUUUUCGACUAUAGGGGUUUUGUAGCAGCCCAGUAGCAUCCGUGUGACAGAGAGUCAUAUUAAGGAUAUAAUAAUGCUUUCCCCUUGAACCCCUUGCAGAAAAAGUAGGAAAAUGGACUGAAAUUGUUGGAUAAGUGGAUUUGCAGUAUCUCAACAAUCAGAACAGCGAAUAUUCCAUCAUCCAAACUAAGCUUCCUCAGAUCCUAAUCCAUUGGUCAUUAUCGAGCCUCGUGACUCCGGCUGUGUUGAUAUCUUCGUAUUACCUGUUAUCAUUCUAUCUAUCUGGUUAUUGCUUUAUGUGUUGGUUGGUAUUUCACUAUUUAAGUAGUAUAGUUACUAAUUCUAUUGACUGAAGGAUUGCUAUUGCUGACAUCUUCUGCGAUGGAAGCCGAGGGAAAGGCCACCAAGAGAUUCGGGUGGGUCGGCCUUCUAUAUUACCUAGUCGCCCGUUACGAUAUUCCUUUACGAGAAUAGCCUACUUUCGCUUCUAAAGUGCCUUUUUUUUCAACAACUCAAUAGAACUUUUUUCUUUUUUCACAUUAUGUUAUUUGCACUUUGGAUUUUCCUCUCUCGCUCCUGGACUCUUGUUUAGCUUGUUAGAGGGAAUGAUCCGCCCGGGGAUCCGGGUUUUUUCCUUCCUACGAUGAAGGUGCCUUAAACCAAAUGAAUAUCUCAAGCACUCGAGUAAGCUGUGGACGCACAUUAAGGACGAAGGGAACGCGCUUCUGUCCUUCUGUCAUUGGACUGAUCAUUUCUUUUGGCUUUCUAGGCCAUAGAUUAGUGAACUUUCUCUUCUAAUGAAAUAGAUCUUUCAAGUUUUCAUAUGAGUCUACUAGUCAUAGGUUUCUAUUUUGUUAGUGCUACCGGAGAUAGGUAUGGAAGCCACUAUGAGUAUAUAUCCAGGUAUGCUUCUAACUUCACCUCACGCCAUAAACGGAAUCCCUAUCAUGAGCGCAACUGUAUUUACAAGUUCAGUAGCCUGAGUGAGCUUUCUCCUCAAUAUGGAUGUGGUGAUUGUUCAUAAACUCCUUGAAAAUCAGACAGACUUAUUAUCAGUGCUCCAAGCUCCAUGUGUUCUAGGGCUAAGACUACGUUGGUGUAGGCUCCCCUUAUCCUUCCUCUGGCAUUCGCCGAUCGAUUUCUAAAUGAGUGGAAUUUUGAUUCUCUAACUGCUCAAAUAGCAAUGGUUUCCUGUUCCGCAUUGACCCUAGGAUUGGCCGCUUGGCUUAAAGAAUAUGGGAUUCUCUUUCCGGUGGAAAAUUGCAUCUGAAAAUGAGACUGAGACCUACUUUUCGAAUUGUCAGAGGCUAUGAGAUCCACUUUCUUUUGGAAAGGAGAAGGGAGAAGCAGCAUUUCAACUGUGUGAGGAUGGACUCUAGACCCACUCGUUCUGAUUCUGUGAUUGCAAUUUCUCAAAAUGGAUCAUAAAGUUGAUCCUGUUUACUAACUCACUCUCGAAGUAGAAGUACCGGACCAGGUAACCAGAAGAUAAGGCCACUCGGCAAGACUGGACUAGUUUAACACGGCUAUCUAGUGGAACACUAUAUAUAUAUAGGACUUGUAGAGCUUGAAAAAGCUUGUUUUGGUCUUUUUUUCUCUUUUCUGGGCACUGAACUUCAUAGACAGACUUACCAACUGAUGAGCCAAAGUAGCAAAUUUCUUCUUCCUGGGAGGGGCGGACUCUACGUUGGUAGAUCGAACUUUCAUUUCUUCCUUCCAUUUCAUCUGUUCAAGUAGUCUCCUUUUCAAGUAGAUACGCUUUGAUACCAGACUGGUGUGCAUUCUAUGCUUACCCAGCGAGCGAAGGAGCGAGCCAAUUCCUCUGUUCCGGUAGAGCCAAUUCCUUUGAAGAAUUGUUUACUUUCUUGUCUUUCCUCCAUUGAACAGAGUGGAAGACCAGGUAUCUUCAUAGUUGGCUCUGGAAUGAUUGCUUGCAGGAUUUCAUAUUUUCCAGUGGUCAGCUUAGUUGGAAGAGAUAGAUAGGAGAAGCGAAUGCCAGAUGCGCGGUGUGCCAAUCAAUCCAAUUUCGUGAGAUCGAGUCAAGAUAAGAAGGAAAAAUUCUUUGGAGUAAAGUCGCCUGGAAGAAAGAAUAGGAAUUGAUCUAGCUAUAGUAUAGAUAGAGUGUCAGAUGAAAUGCUUGACAAGGCAAGGAAACAGAACAUCCACAUCCUCUGUUCACACUACCUGGAUUGGAAUUGGUUCUAUCGAGAUAUACUGACUUGAAACAGGAAUUUCUUGGUAACUGCUGCUUCUUUGAAGCAAGUGCUUUCGGGUUGGCUCUUCUGAUAUGUGUAUUUGCUACCCAUACGGAACAAUUUCAUUGAUGAAAGAUGGAUGGCUAUUCUCCACAUUUGCCAGCACAGUGCACUUUUUCUUCUAUUUCGUGAUUCCUUUCUUUCUGUCGCCAUUUGAAAAUGGAUUUCUCCUCCUGGUUUUAGUCACACACGUCUUUUCCACCUAGGAAGGAUGCCCCUACAAUCAUUCCAUGCUCUGCCUUCGCCCGAGCGGUCCCCAGUGAAGGAAGCCAAUAAUGGGAGUGUCAGGGCGGAACUUCAUUAAUGAAAGGAUUUGCACUGCCCCACCGUGCCGCAGGGACGAACUUCAAUAGCCCAUCAUAGCACUCUCAGUCAGGGGGUUAGGGAACUCUUGAAGAUAUCGAUAGAAUAAUAUUUAAUUUUCAUAAGUUUCAGUGGACGCAGAGCCAACAAGUGCAGUUUUUCAGCGUAAGGUCAGGUUACAAAAAGGCCUAUUUUGAUAAGCAAGGCAUUGCAAACAAAUAGGUAGAGCAGAGAGCUAACCUAAGGAGCGAGCUUGUUGUAGUUGGUCUAAAGGGGGAAAUAAAGGACUGUCCCACUACUACUUCCUUGAUUCCCGGGAAAGAAGGAAGACCGAGGGUAACUAACUCUUCCUUCUGAAAAAUCUAUAUCCCAGCUCGUUUUCAUCGAGCCUUCCCCCCGUUUGGAGUAUAGCCAAGUGGUAAGGCAUCGAUUUUUGGUUAUGAUCCAAAAAGAAAAAAGAAAGGUUUAACAAGCCAUGAGAAAAUAGAGUAAAGUAACCAUACGUUCUGUUUGGAUAACGUGUAUACGCCACGCCAUACAAUCGAAAUAGAAACAUGGGAUGAUUCCAGAAUUUUGAAUAGAUCCGUGGGGAUGAGAGAAGUUGUUGUUGAGAAAUAUGAAAUUGGAAAGGAAGUCAAACUCCCUAUGGAACCUGUGAUCGGUUGUACCUGUACUUUAGUGAUACGAAAACUCGCUAUUCACUCAGUUUCUGGUCAAUAAUAAGAUUAUGUAGGAGAGAUGGCCGAGUGGUUCAAGGCGUAGCAUUGGAACUGCUAUGUAGGCUUUUGUUUACCGAGGGUUCGAAUCCCUCUCUUUCCGUUUCUGUUAAUUCACCAACGUUACCGACCACAAUGAAAUUUCUAGUAAGUGGAAAAUCCGUCGACUUUCUAAAUCGUGAGGGUUCAAGUCAAGUCCCUCUAUCCCCAAUAAAAAGCCCAUUUUACUUCCUAACUAUUGUACCAACCUCUAUUUUUCAUUAAUGGUUCAAACAAGAUUCACUAUCUUUCUUAUUCUACUCUUUCACAAACGGAUCCGAACUGACUUCUUUGGAUCUUAUCCCAUUCAUACAAAUGAACAUAUUAUAGUAUAGGCAAGUAAUCCCUAUUAUUAAGUAAGUCAUUCACAAUCCAUAUCAUUAUCCUGAUAUUUACUAAGUCCAAUUUGAGAAUACUUUUCUCUUUUUAGUCCCUUUAAUUGACAUAGAUACAAGUACUCUACUAGGAUGAUGCACAAUAAAUAGUCAGGAUAGCUCAGUUGGUAGAGCAGAGGAUUGAAAAUCCUCGUGUCACCAGUUCAAAUCUGGUUCCUGGCACAGAACGAACAAUGAAUGAAUGCCUUUUCGGGAAAGAAUGUUCUUGUUUUUCGUUGGAAAAACCAACGCCGACGUCAAGAUCAGUCUCCUUUCCUUUCUCUUUUCGGGAUCAGAGCUGAAAAAGAUGGCAUUUUCCGAUGGGAGCUACUUGUACCAAUUUAUCGGAAGUUCUCACGCAUACCGUAACCGCCCAUCCCUAUCCCUUUUGUUUUCUCCUUUGUCUGAUUUUUAGCGUUUGGGGGGUUGUUUUGUUUAGGCAGUUAGCAUAUGUAAAAAGAUUUAAUGAGAGAAACCUCUCGGAUAGGAUGGCUAUAGCCCGAGAGAUACUGGAGCAUAAUAAACAACUCGGCAUACCUAUGACGGUAGAGCUGAGUUGGAAACGCUUCCUAAUCGUACCGGUACCUAUACAAAAAAAGAAAGAUAAAACCUGAUACUUCUUGACCUUAUCCCAUUUUCUUAUUGGAAUUCCAGACCUAAAUCAAAAUGAAUGGAAGAUGCUUCUGGAACCUACGCACGAGUGAAAAGCUAGGCUAGUUUUGAAAGAAUUGGCACUAAGUAAGAGGUGAUCUGCUUUUGGCCUUGUAUCGGGCAGCGGGACGUUAUGAAGGGCAGCUAAAACAUGACUCUUGCGAUGCUGAAUCAUCGAUUGAUAGAGGUGCUGAGAGGGCUGUGACUGCAGUAGCCUCACUUCACUUUUUUCCACCAUCACUAGUACGUGGGGUCCCGAAAACCAAACAAAGAAGAAAAUGCACGCACGAGUUGGUGGAUUGGGUUAAGCAUCUAACUAACUAGAUUCCUUACUCCCAGCGAUGACCUAUAAUAGAAUAUGAAAAGCAAUGUUUCCCUUAAUCUCUCCCAUCUAGAUAGAUAAAUAAAGGUCAUGCGUAGCUCGUAUAAAAAACUCUAAAUGAAUUAUUUCCCUCUGGCGAAAGGAAAAGAUUGUUGGUACGAAAGCCGCUAUUACACCACUUGAGGGCUGAACCAACCUCAUGCUCCAUCAGAUACAAGAAACAGCCUGUAGCGACCAGACCUCAAAUGGUCUGUGCUGCUGUGCAC
rnacentral:lncRNA from 1 species